UGGCUCUGGCAUNGAUGAAGAACGCAGCGAAAUGCGAUAAGUAAUGUGAAUUGCAGAAUUCAGUGAAUCAUCGAAUCUUUGAACGCACAUUGCGCCCCUUGGUAUUCCGGGGGGCAUGCCUGUUCGAGCGUCAUUAACAACCCUCAAGCAUAGCUUGGUAUUGGGCUUCGCCGUUUACGCGGUGGGCCUUAAAGUCAGUGGCGGUGUCGUCGUGGCCCCGAGCGUAGUAAAUAUUCCUCGCUUAGGGACCUAGCGAUUGCUUGCCAGAACCCCCAACUUUCAAGUUUGACCUCGGAUCAGGUAGGGAUACCCGCUGA
rnacentral:misc_RNA from 1 species